AUGGUCCCUCUGAUCAUUGCGACCUCCCUACAGUACUGGGCAAGUGCCAGUAACAAACUCGGGAGGCGAAAACCACUUGGGAGGAGGCAGAGGAGGCCAGGGGGCGCGGAGGCAGCCUUGGGGCUGCUGACUGGGGAUACGCUGGGGUCCCUGGCCGUGGCCGUGGCCAUCUUCCUGCUCCUGGUGGACCUGAUGCAGAGGCGCGGAUGCUGGGCUGCCCCUGCGGGGCAACCUGCUGCAGAUGGACUUCCAGAACACACUCUGCUACUUUGACCAGCUGCGGCGCGGCUUCGGGAACGUGUUCAGCCUGCAGCUGGUCUGGACGCCCGUGGUCGUGCUCAGUGGCCUGGACGCCGUGCGCGAGGCACUGGUGUACCACAGCGAGGACACAGCCCACCGGCCGCCUAUGCGGGUCUAUGAGCCCCCCGGUUUCCGGCCGCCCUCCCAAGGCAAGCCCUUCAGCCCCGGCGCCCGCGUGGAUAAAGCGGUGAGCAACGUGAUCUCCGCCCUCACCUACGGGCGCCGCUUCGAGUACGACGACCGGCCCCUUCCUCAAGCUGCUGGAACGACUGCAGGCGGGAGUGGAGGAGGACCAGGGCUUCCUGCGCGAGAUCCUGAACUCCAUCCCCAUGCUCUUGCGCAUCCCGGGACUGGCCAACAAGGUCUUCUCAGCACAGAAGACCCUCAUGAUCCUAAUAGAUGAGCUAAUACAGGAACACAGGAUGACCCGGGACCCAACCCAGCCACCCUGAGACCUGACUGAUGCCUUCCUGGAUGAGGUGGAAAAGGCCAAGGGGAGCCCCGAGAGCAGCUUCAAUGAUGAGAACCUGGGCAUGGUGACAUCUGACCUUUUCGCUGCUGGGAUGGUGUCCACCUCAGCCACGCUGACCUGGGCCCUCCUGCUCAUGAUCCUGCACCCGGACGUGCAGUGAUGUGUCCAACAGGAGAUAGAUGAGGUGAUAGGGCGGGUGCAGGGACCAGAGAUGGGGGACCAGACCCACAUGCCCUUCACCAUUGGCCGUGGUCCAUGAGGUGCAGCGUUUUGGGGACAUCAUCCCACUGGGCUUGCUUCAUAUGAUGUCCCGAGACCCUGAAGUGCAGGGCUUCCCCGUCCCCAAGGGGACAAGACUUAUCACCAACCUAUCGUCAGUGCUGAAGGACGAGAAGGUCUGGAAGAAGGCCUUCCGUUUCCACCCCGAGCACUUCCUGGAUGCCCAGGGCCGAUUCGUCAAGCAGGAGGCCUUCGUGCCCUUCUCCGCAGGCCGCCGCAUCUGCCUUGGGGAGCCCCUGGCCCGCAUGGAGCUCUUCCUCUUCUUCACCUGCUUCCUGCAGCGCUUCAGCUUCUCCGUGCCUACCGGACAGCCCCGGCCCAGCGACCACAGGGUCUUCUCCUUCCUGGUGACCCCAGCCCCCUCCCAGCUCCGUGCUGUGCCUCGCUAGAGGGAGGAAGCAUCCCCCUGCCCCACCAGCUCCUCAGCAGGGGCCUGAUGGGCCAGUCAACCAGUUGGGUGGCUCCAUCCUGCCUUCUGAGUCCCCUCAGGGCCUCCUGAGCAGCCCCUGGCCGUGAUGGGGCCUUAGCAGCCUCCCCAGGGCCAGCCCCUACCCCUGCCUGAGCCAUCCUUACUUUGCAUUUGAUCCCAUUUGAGAGAUGGGGAUAGUGAGGGUCAGAAGAUCACAGCUUACCCCUAGUCACCCACAGGGACCCAAUACUGGCGACUUGGGUUAGUGCCAAUGUCUGUACUUAGGUCCUGGCUCAUGGCAGGCAGAGCUAGAACAAGGGGCUGAGAGCUCUCAGCCGGACCCUGGUGGGGGGGGCAGGCCCCACUCAGCCUGGACACCCACAUCUCAGGUCCAACGCCACGCACCCCACCCCACCCCACGGGCCAGCAGCUUCGCCAGCACCACAAGCUCUUCUGUCCCACUGCAUCUACGACUCCCCCAAAGGUAGGGACUUCAGGGAUGGCCAUGAGGGGAUGUGCCAGGUUAACACCCAGGGCUCAGUCCACAGGUGCCAGAACUUUCCCUGGGAAGCCUUUGGCAGUCCAGGAGUGAGCCACCUCCCUAAGUCAGUCACCCCAAGCUAGGUGGACCCCUUCCCCAGCCCCUCAGGGAUGCCUGUGUUCAGGCGCCUGCCUAGAAGUUGCCACUCACGGCCAGGCUAGAGUAGGAGGAGGCCACUCAUCAGGGCUCCAACCUAGGGCACAGUCCUCUGAGUGGCUGGGUCAAGCUGGGCUCUAGGAGACUUGACCAGGGGAAGGCAGUGAGACCUGUGGGCCCCAGGUUACCCUCGGGACAGGGGCCAGCCUUGGACCCAUGUGACAGUGGAAUGGCCAGAGGAGGAGGCGGCCACGUGGAGACUUUGGAGGAGGACACCCUGGCUUUCACCCUUGCUCUGCCGGGAUACUGUGUGGCCCUGGGCCGGUUCCUCCCUGCCCUGGGCUUCUGUUUCCCCCUCAGCCAGUGAGAUGGUUGCACCAGAUGGCUGCUGGGGCCGGUGGUCCUGCUCUGACUUCUGGGGCCGUGACCCUGUUAGCCUGGAGCCCUGGCCGAGAGCAGGACCGCUGUCCUCCCCUGUGCCCACGCCCACAAUUGGCUGGUUCUGGACUGAGCAGCUGGGCAGCACCCGCUUAGCCAGGUCUUAGACAGACCCCCUGGUGCAUUUAAGGAACAGUAUGGGGACCAGAGACAGGUCAGAGGCCCCUCACUCCCCCAGGUCUCUUUUGCCAGAGGACACCCCUCCAGCCCAGACCCAAGAGCAUCCCUGACAGAGGUCCCACCAGCACCUUCUAAAUGCGCUCACAACAUGGAGCUUCCCAGCUCUCCGCAUUCGGGGAACUCGCUCUGCCCCUCAGCAUGGGGUCGGGGGGCCUCUCCAGAGUACCAGCUGCUGUGGCGGGGCUCAGGCGCAGCUUGUCAGGGCAGAGAGUGUGGACGGGGCCCCCCUGAGUUUCGACGAAGCCCCUGAAAGGAAGCAGCUGGGUCUGCAGAAGCAGCAAGUCUCUGGGUUUAUUGGCUCUUCGGUCAUUCGUGGUUCUGCGUCUUUGGCAUGUCAGCGGCUGGGACCCAGUGCAGCCAGAGCUUCCUCAGGAGCCGGGGGACCCAGCCCCCAGGCCUCUCGUCCUUGCUCCCCACCGCAGAGGCCUCUGCAAAGCACAGACAGGCAAGCCCUGUGGGUCCCUUGCAGGGAGGACCCUUCCCCAGGGCGGGGGGGAACAGGCCGGCGCUGACCAAACGCUCGCCUCAAGGGUCUGCCCACCAGGAAGGAAGCAGGAGGCGGCGGAGACAUUCGGGGAGGACGGGGCGCCUGGCUACCUGGGCUCCUUCCCCCCGCCCCCCGGCCCAGGGCCCGCGAGAGGCUGCGCCAUCCGUAAGCCCCCCAGGGGCGGGCUGUGCUGUCUUACCGGAAGGGUGUACCGCCACCUCCUUUUGGACCUUCGUGUUCUCCUGGGAAGAAAGACGGGGCACGGUGGUGACACACGACAGUCACAUUACCCAGCCGGGCAGGCGGCGGUGGCGGGCGGGGGAGGCAGGGUCCGGCCCACUCUCCGCCCCACAGGGCUCCUUGCGCCACCGGGACAGCAGUUUGGCCCAGUGUCCUUGCGGGUGCCCCAUGCCCCCCAACACUGCCCUCCUCCCCCCGCAGUGCUCUGGGGCUUCCCAGUAGCACUGGGAACCCUAGAGGUGCUGGGGAUGAUCCUCACCUCCCAGCCUGGGGUCCCUGCUGCCUCUUCCUCAGCCACCUCCUUCACAGCGGGGCCGGCGGCUUCCGCCCCUGGGGGCCUCACCUCCCCCUCCUGCUGAGACCGGAGCUCAGUCUCCUCCUUGGGGGCAGCACCGCUCAGUCCUCCCGUUGCCUUGGGGGCCAUGGCCUGCAGGGAGGGGCGGGAGGGCGGACGUGGGCAGAAAGGCCCGCAGAGCCCUCAUCCUCCUGGCCCGUCUCCACACCUGCACUGUGUAUCGUUCUUCGUUUUCCCAAGGAAGGCCUUCCCUUCUCAGCGAGUUGCAAGUUUCCCGGGGGAGGGAGGAGAAAGGGGGGGGCCCUGCCACCAUCCCUGGGACUCCCCUGCCACGAGCUGGGCUGUCUCUGCGUCACAUGGAGCUCUGACAGAAGCGAGCCUCACUUACCUUGGCUUGCUUCUUCCCGAUCUUGACUCUGCGUCUCUACAGAGGGAAACAGAAGUGACUUCCAGCUGGGAGGGGCCGUCCUCUCACUGUACCUGCCCAGGGUGCCCACUCCAGGGGAAGUGGGGUCCCCAGCCCUUACCUACCUGAGUGGUCACAGGGUAGCACUUAUCCAUUGGCCCCCACACCGGCCUCAAGGUCUCCCCUAUGAGCUGCACGACAAGGAGAGAGCGGAGGGAGGGAAGGCUGAGGUGACACACUAAUUCACUAAUUCACUGUCAGUGACAGUGACCUAAGACAGACACCUAAGAACUACCUGUCUUGAGAAAGUUAAAACCUGGCAUUUGUGAAACAAGAAUAAAACAGAAUAUGUUGAAAAAACCUCUUAAUUCUUGAAAACAAAAAUAUGAUAGAAUAAUGGGAAUGAGAAAUCCAAUCGAAGUGUAGGAGGUAAGUUAAAAAAAUUUUUUUCCCAGAAAGAACAGAGAGAAGAGAUCAGGAGCUCCCACAGAUAACUCAUAGAUCUUUCUGAGACAGGGAACAGACAACAGACUGAGGUGGCAGGGAGAGAUACCAGAUAGAUACGGCCCUGUUUUAUCAAGACAUGAUAAGGGACAUGAGUUUGCAGAAGAGAAGGAAUCACCAAGUGUCCAGGACAAUGGAUGAUAGAGAUUCACCCCAGAUUUUGUCAUCAGUAAAUCUCAAAACACUGAGGACAAGGAACCCAAAAACUUCCAGAAAUACAAAGAAAAAAUUCUGUUCGGGCGCCUGGGUGGCUCAGAUGGU